AAGAUGUGUGUGAAACUGAAUUCCCUUAGGCAAGGUGCUCCCUGCAGGAUGCUGAAGGCUGUCAAUCACCAUGUCCUCCAGCUGCUGCUGCCGCAACUCCACGCCAUGCUGAGUGCUGUCCCACUGGUUCCUUACCUUCUCCACUAAAGGACGCAUUACAAAAAAAGAAUUCCUGAAAGUGACUCUCAGGAAAAAG